rnacentral:rRNA from 1 species
GAGUUUGAUCCUGGCUCAGGACUAACGCUGGCGGCGUGCCUAACACAUGCAAGUCGAACGAGGUAGCAAUACCUAGUGGCAGACGGGUGAGUAACGCGUAGGUAAUGUGCCCUCCUGCGGGGGAUACCGUUCCGAAAGGGACGUUAAUACCGCAUAACAUACCACAGGGGCAUCCUUGAGGUAUCAAACUUCCGGGGUAGGGGGAGCAGCCUGCGUUCUAUCAGCUUGUUGGUGAGGUAACGGCUCACCAAGGCUACGACGGAUAACUGGUCUGAGAGGAUGACCAGUCACACUGGGACUGAGACACGGCCCAGACUCCUACGGGAGGCAGCAGUGAGGAAUAUUGCGCAAUGGGCGAAAGCCUGACGCAGCGACGCCGCGUGGAGGAUGAAGGCCUUCGGGUU